rnacentral:rRNA from 1 species
GACAGAGGGUGCAAACGUUGUUCGGAAUUACUGGGCGUAAAGCGCGUGUAGGCGGCCCUGCAAGUCGGAUGUGAAAUCCCACGGCUCAACCGUGGAAGUGCAUUCGAAACUGCAGGGCUAGAGUCCUGGAGAGGAAGGUGGAAUGCUUGGUGUAGAGGUGAAAUGCGCAGAUAUCAGGAAGAACACCCGUGGCGAAGGCGGCUCUCUGGGACGGUACUGACGCUGAGACGCGAAAGCGUGGGGAGCGAACAGG